GACCUCGGAUCAGGUAGGGAUACCCGCUGAACUUAAGCAUAUCAAUAAGCGGAGGAAAAGAAACCAACAGGGAUUGCCUUAGUAACGGCGAGUGAAGCGGCAACAGCUCAAAUUUGAAAUCUGGCCUUGCGGUCCGAGUUGUAAUUUGUAGAGGAUGCUUCGAGCAUGGUCUGGUCUAAGUUCCUUGGAACAGGACGUCAUAGAGGGUGAGAAUCCCGUAUGUGACUGGGUGCCUAAGCUCAUGUGAAGCUCCUUCAACGAGUCGAGUUGUUUGGGAAUGCAGCUCAAAAUGGGUGGUAAAUUUCAUCUAAAGCUAAAUACUGGCCAGAGACCGAUAGCGCACAAGUAGAGUGAUCGAAAGAUGAAAAGCACUUUGGAAAGAGAGUUAAACAGUACGUGAAAUUGUUGAAAGGGAAGCGC
rnacentral:rRNA from 1 species